rnacentral:rRNA from 1 species
GUGGGGAAUAUUGGGCAAUGGGCGCAAGCCUGACCCAGCAACGCCGCGUGAAGGAAGAAGGCUUUCGGGUUGUAAACUUCUUUUGUCAGGGACGAAGCAAGUGACGGUACCUGACGAAUAAGCCACGGCUAACUACGUGCCAGCAGCCGCGGUAAUACGUAGGUGGCAAGCGUUAUCCGGAUUUACUGGGUGUAAAGGGCGUGUAGGCGGGAAAGCAAGUCAGAUGUGAAAACUGUGGGCUCAACCCACAGCCUGCAUUUGAAACUGUUUUUCUUGAGUACUGGAGAGGCAGAUGGAAUUCCUAGUGUAGCGGUGAAAUGCGUAGAUAUUAGGAGGAACACCAGUGGCGAAGGCGAUCUGCUGGACAGCAACUGACGCUGAGGCGCGAAAGCGUGGGGAGCAAACAGGAUUAGAAACCCUAGUAGUCC